UACGAAGGGGGCUAGCGUUGUUCGGAAUCACUGGGCGUAAAGCGCUUGUAGGCGGAUCGUUAAGUCAGGGGUGAAAUCCCGAGGCUCAACCUCGGAACUGCCUUUGAUACUGGCGAUCUUUGAGUCCGGGAGAGGUGAGUGGAACUCCGAGUGUAGAGGUGAAAUUCGUAGAUAUUCGGAAGAACAUCAGUGGCGAAGGCGGCUCACUGGCCCGGUACUGACGCUUAAGAGCGAAAGCGUGGGGAGCAAACAGG
rnacentral:rRNA from 1 species